UACGUAGGUGGCAAGCGUUGUCCGGAUUUAUUGGGUUUAAAGGGUGCGUAGGCGGCCCUGUAAGUCAGUGCUGAAAUAUCCCGGCUUAACCGGGAGGGUGGCAUUGAUACUGCGGGGCUUGAGUACAGAUGAGGUAGGCGGAAUUGACGGUGUAGCGGUGAAAUGCAUAGAUAUCGUCAAGAACACCUAUAGCGAAGGCAGCUUACUGGGCUGUAACUGACGCUGAGGCACGAAAGUGUGGGGAUCAAACAGG
rnacentral:rRNA from 1 species